CGUAGGGGGCAAGCGUUGUCCGGAAUUAUUGGGCGUAAAGCGCGUGUAGGCGGCUCGGUAAGUCUGCUGUGAAAGUCCAGGGCUCAACCCUGGAAUGCCGGUGGAUACUGUCGAGCUCGAGUCCGGAAGAGGCGAGUGGAAUUCCUGGUGUAGCGGUGAAAUGCGCAGAUAUCAGGAGGAACACCAAUGGCGAAGGCAGCUCGCUGGGACGGUACUGACGCUGAGACGCGAAAGCGUGGGGAGCAAACAGGAUUAGAUACCCUGGUAGUCCACGCCGUAAACGAUGGGUACUAGGUGUAGGGGGUGUCGACUCCCCCUGUGCCGACGCUAACGCAUUAAGUACCCCGCCUGGGGAGUACGGCCGCAAGGCUA
rnacentral:rRNA from 1 species